CCAGCAGCCGCGGUAAUACGGAGGGUGCGAGCGUUAAUCGGAAUAACUGGGCGUAAAGGGCACGCAGGCGGUUAUUUAAGUGAGGUGUGAAAGCCCCGGGCUUAACCUGGGAAUUGCAUUUCAGACUGGGUAACUAGAGUACUUUAGGGAGGGGUAGAAUUCCACGUGUAGCGGUGAAAUGCGUAGAGAUGUGGAGGAAUACCGAAGGCGAAGGCAGCCCCUUGGGAAUGUACUGACGCUCAUGUGCGAAAGCGUGGGGAGCAAACAGGAUUAGAUACCCUGGUAGUCCACGCUGUAAACGCUGUCGAUUUGGGGAUUGGGCUUUAAGCUUGGUGCCCGUAGCUAACGUGAUAAAUCGACCGCCUGGGGAGUACGGCCGCAAGGUUAAAACUCAAAUGAAUUGACGGGGGCCCGCACAAGCGGUGGAGCAUGUGGUUUAAUUCGAUGCAACGCGAAGAACCUUACCUACUCUUGACAUCCAUGGAAUCUUGUAGAGAUACGGGAGUGC
rnacentral:rRNA from 1 species